GGCUCUGAAAAGAAACUAGGCUGACUGGAGUUUAGUGAGAAUGGGUAACAUUUGCAGGGAAAUACGCAGGAGAAGAAAAAGAACAACGUUUUGGGGCAGUCACAACUUGUAUUGAACACUAGCAGAACUCUUUAAAGUCAUCACAUCAAACACCAGCAGAGAUGGGUCUCUGCUGGAUUGUGUCACUCAGCCUGCGGGAGAGCACACGCACCACAGUGGCAGGAACGGCCGACACCCGAGAGCGAGGAAAACACCUCCAAAGCAAUGGCACAUCUGAAGAGAAGAUCUCCACCUGAGAGAAAUCAGUCUUGACAAUGGCCACUGAGAUCAGGACAGUAACCAGCAAGCUUCACAAUAAACCAUCAUAUACACUAUUUUAGUUUGUCAAAACAAUUAGUGUUCAUUUUGGCUUUAUUCAGUUAAAUCUGCAGUGACUGAUCAGUAUAAAUUAUGUAUUAUGCUGCCCAGCUGUACUUGUUUAU